AAGCUCGUAGUUGAAUUUCGGGGUUAGUAGGUUGGUCAUGCCUCUGGUAUGUACUGGUCUCACUGAUUCCUCCUUCCUUAUGAACCGUAAUGCCAUUAAUUUUGGUGUUGCGGGGAAUUCGGACUGUUACUUUGAAAAAAUUAGAGUGUUUAAAGCAAGCUAACGCUUGAAUACAUUAGNAUGGAAUAAUGAAAUAGGACGUUCGAUCUUAUUUUGUUGGUUUCUAGGAUUGACGUAAUGAUUAAUAGGGAUAGUUGGG
rnacentral:rRNA from 1 species